rnacentral:rRNA from 1 species
UACGAAGGGGGCUAGCGUUGCUCGGAAUUACUGGGCGUAAAGCGUGCGAAGGCGGUUACUUAAGUCAGGGGUGAAAGCCCUGGGCUUAACCUAGGAAUUGCGCUUGAGACUGGGUAGCUUUGAGUGUGGCAGAGGGAGGUGGAAUUCCACGUGUAGCAGUGAAAUGCGUAGAGAUGUGGAGGAACACCGAUGGCGAAGGCAGCCUCCUGGGCCAGCACUGACGCUCAUGCACGAAAGCGUGGGGAGCAAACAGG